GGGACACGUGGUAUCCUGUCUGAAUAUGGGGGGACCAUCCUCCAAGGCUAAAUACUCCUGACUGACCGAUAGUGAACCAGUACCGUGAGGGAAAGGCGAAAAGAACCCCGGCGAGGGGAGUGAAAAAGAACCUGAAACCGUGUACGUACAAGCAGUGGGAGCACGCUUAGGCGUGUGACUGCGUACCUUUUGUAUAAUGGGUCAGCGACUUAUAUUCUGUAGCAAGGUUAACCGAAUAGGGGAGCCGAAGGGAAACCGAGUCUUAACUGGGCGUUAAGUUGCAGGGUAUAGACCCGAAACCCGGUGAUCUAGCCAUGGGCAGGUUGAAGGUUGGGUAACACUAACUGGAGGACCGAACCGACUAAUGUUGAAAAAUUAGCGGAUGACUUGUGGCUGGGGGUGAAAGGCCAAUCAAACCGGGAGAUAGCUGGUUCUCCCCGAAAGCUAUUUAGGUAGCGCCUCGUGAAUUCAUCUCCGGGGGUAGAGCACUGUUUCGGCAAGGGGGUCAUCCCGACUUACCAACCCGAUGCAAACUGCGAAUACCGGAGAAUGUUAUCACGGGAGACACACGGCGGGUGCUAACGUCCGUCGUGAAGAGGGAAACAACCCAGACCGCCAGCUAAGGUCCCAAAGUCAUGGUUAAGUGGGAAACGAUGUGGGAAGGCCCAGACAGCCAGGAUGUUGGCUUAGAAGCAGCCAUCAUUUAAAGAAAGCGUAAUAGCUCACUGGUCGAGUCGGCCUGCGCGGAAGAUGUAACGGGGCUAAACCAUGCACCGAAGCUGCGGCAGCGACACUAUGUGUUGUUGGGUAGGGGAGCGUUCUGUAAGCCUGUGAAGGUGUACUGUGAGGUAUGCUGGAGGUAUCAGAAGUGCGAAUGCUGACAUAAGUAACGAUAAAGCGGGUGAAAAGCCCGCUCGCCGGAAGACCAAGGGUUCCUGUCCAACGUUAAUCGGGGCAGGGUGAGUCGACCCCUAAGGCGAGGCCGAAAGGCGUAGUCGAUGGGAAACAGGUUAAUAUUCCUGUACUUGGUGUUACUGCGAAGGGGGGACGGAGAAGGCUAUGUUGGCCGGGCGACGGUUGUCCCGGUUUAAGCGUGUAGGCUGGUUUUCCAGGCAAAUCCGGAAAAUCAAGGCUGAGGCGUGAUGACGAGGCACUACGGUGCUGAAGCAACAAAUGCCCUGCUUCCAGGAAAAGCCUCUAAGCAUCAGGUAACAUCAAAUCGUACCCCAAACCGACACAGGUGGUCAGGUAGAGAAUACCAAGGCGCUUGAGAGAACUCGGGUGAAGGAACUAGGCAAAAUGGUGCCGUAACUUCGGGAGAAGGCACGCUGAUAUGUAGGUGAAGUCCCUUGCGGAUGGAGCUGAAAUCAGUCGAAGAUACCAGCUGGCUGCAACUGUUUAUUAAAAACACAGCACUGUGCAAACACGAAAGUGGACGUAUACGGUGUGACGCCUGCCCGGUGCCGGAAGGUUAAUUGAUGGGGUCAGCGCAAGCGAAGCUCUUGAUCGAAGCCCCGGUAAACGGCGGCCGUAACUAUAACGGUCCUAAGGUAGCGAAAUUCCUUGUCGGGUAAGUUCCGACCUGCACGAAUGGCGUAAUGAUGGCCAGGCUGUCUCCACCCGAGACUCAGUGAAAUUGAACUCGCUGUGAAGAUGCAGUGUACCCGCGGCAAGACGGAAAGACCCCGUGAACCUUUACUAUAGCUUGACACUGAACAUUGAGCCUUGAUGUGUAGGAUAGGUGGGAGGCUUUGAAGUGUGGACGCCAGUCUGCAUGGAGCCGACCUUGAAAUACCACCCUU
rnacentral:rRNA from 1 species